UGCCAGCCGCCGCGGUAAUACGGAGGGAGCUAGCGUUGUUCGGAAUUACUGGGCGUAAAGCGCACGUAGGCGGAUCUGUUAGUCAGAGGUGAAAUCCCGGGGCUCAACCUCGGAACUGCCUUUGAUACUGCAAGUCUAGAGACCGAGAGAGGUGAGUGGAAUUUCCAGUGUAGGGGUGAAAUUCGUAGAUAUUGGAAGGAACACCAGUGGCGAAGGCGGCUCACUGGCUCGGUACUGACGCUGAGGUGCGAAAGCGUGGGGAGCAAACAGGAUUAUCUA
rnacentral:rRNA from 1 species